UACGUAGGGUGCAGGCGUUAAUCGGAAUUACUGGGCGUAAAGCGUGCGCAGGCGGUUCGUUAAGAGAGAUGUGAAAUCCCCGGGCUUAACCUGGGAACUGCGUUUCUAACUGGCGAGCUUGAGUGUGGCAGAGGGGGGUGGAAUUCCACGUGUAGCAGUGAAAUGCGUAGAGAUGUGGAGGAACACCGAUGGCGAAGGCAGCCCCCUGGGCUAACACUGACGCUCAUGCACGAAAGCGUGGGGAGCAAACAGG
rnacentral:rRNA from 1 species